rnacentral:rRNA from 1 species
CGCCUUGCCAGCCCGCUCAGAAACCUUAAAGGAAUUGACGGGGGCCCGCACAAGCGGUGGAGUAUGUGGUUUAAUUCGAUGCAACGCGAAGAACCUUACCUGGUCUUGACAUCCCGGAGACCCUUAGGAAACUAGGGGGUGCUUCCAUCUGGAAGAAUCUGGAGACAGGUGCUGCAUGGCUGUCGUCAGCUCGUGUCGUGAGAUGUUGGGUUAAGUCCCGCAACGAGCGCAACCCUUGCCUUUAGUUGCCAGCAGUUCGGCUGGGCACUCUAAAGGGACUGCCGGUGUUAAACCGGAGGAAGGUGGGGAUGACGUCAAGUCCUCAUGGCCUUUAUGACCAGGGCUACACACGUACUACAAUGGCCGAUACAAAGGGCAGCGACACUGCGAGGUGAAGCCAAUCCCGUAAAAUCGGUCUCAGUCCGGAUUGGAGUCUGCAACUCGACUCCAUGAAGUUGGAAUCGCUAGUAAUCGUGGAUCAGCAUGCCACGGUGAAUACGUUCCCGGGCCUU